rnacentral:misc_RNA from 1 species
GUCUGAUACCAUAUAGAAACUCAAAUGUUUUCGGAAAACUGAACUUAUACUGUUGAUAAGUAUUGGCGUUACAUAUAAACUGGAGUUGAGUACAAGUCUGAUAUAAUCUGUUAUAGAAAUAUUAUCACCUAAUAUAUGAGAUAAUUAUCUACCAAUACAUACAAGGGAUAAUAAAUAUACAAGAGAUAAACUUCACGAGAUAAAACUCUAUCAAUAGAUAAACUCUAUCAAGAUAUAAAACUCUAUCAAUGGAUAAACUCUAUUAUUUACAUGUAAACAAACUUGCAAGAAAACUAAAAACAGCUUUCCUUCCACCCACCAUACUCUUCUUCUUCACGGUUGCCAUUUUCCACCUUGAGGGUGAAAGUGACUCCAACUUGAAUCUCUCCAUUGUAACAUUGAUCAGAUUGAACAAUGCUAUACUUUUGAGGAUGAAGUUCAGCAGUUCCAUUAUCCACUCCUAAUUCCAACAAAUCCUUCACAUAUAUCGUAGCAUGGCCAAGCAAAUCAUCAGCAGAGAAGGUGUCCUUGUCCAUGAUUUUUAAAAUGAGCUUGUACUCUUCACCUUGCCCUGGAUAUUCCACCUUGAAUGUGAGUUUCUCAUUCCACACUGGAUUCCCACCUUGACCUCUGGCGACACUGCUCUCGCGCUCUUGGCUUUUGUACUUCACGAUAACAUAUGGAUCAAUCUUACCUAAGAAAUCAGUGCCUCUGAGGCCUUUUGCAUUCACCAGCUGCACUUCCAAUAGCCCAGUAGCCAUCUCCGGUUCUUGAAUCUUGCUUUAGGAUUGAAUAAGACACCUCUGAAGAUCAAGAAGAAGAAAUUUCUAAGGUAUAUAUAUAGAGCUUAAGGGAAAUGAGCAAGUGGAUUUCGAUAGAUACAGGAAAUUUCUUCUGAAAAAAAAUGUUAGUCAAAAGGGAGAA